AACUUCUCUUUUUUAAGUCAAGCAGGUGGAUUCAGUAGGGCUAGAUGUGCAGUGAAGAUACAUCUGUUGCAUUAGAAAGUUCAUCAUAAAUGCAGAAGAAACCGACAAAUUUUAGAAGACGCCCAACAUUUUGAGAGUGACCACAACUAAAAUAUAGGGAAGAAUCCUACAAAGAAUAUAAAAUUGUGAUUCAUCAAUUACAUGUCAAAAUCAUAAUGAAAGAUUUACAAUUUCUAGCAAAAGAGUAAACAACAUGAAUGUGUAACUGGCCCACCAAUACAAUUAGUUCGCAUUAGAAAAUUAACAUUCUUCUAGUACUGUAAUCUUAGCAAUUUAUAAACGACGCAUGGAGCAUAAUAACUGCAGCUGUUCCCCAAGGUGGAAGCAACAGACCUUGGAAAUCUAGUUCACGAACAUUAUGCAUAUGCUCACGAAAAUAAAGCAAAGCAUGAGUUUUGUAUGUGUUACUGUAAAAACAAUAUGCCAGUACAAAAAAAAAGGAU
rnacentral:lncRNA from 1 species